AAGGAAUAUUGGUCAAUGGACGCAAGUCUGAACCAGCCAUGCCGCGUGGAGGAUGAAGGCCCUCUGGGUUGUAAACUUCUUUUAUAGGGGACGAAAAAGGGACUUUCUAGUCCAACUGACGGUACCCUAGGAAUAAGCACCGGCUAACUCCGUGCCAGCAGCCGCGGUAAUACGGAGGGUGCAAGCGUUAUCCGGAUUCACUGGGUUUAAAGGGUGCGUAGGUGGAUUAGUAAGUCAGUGGUGAAAUCUUCGAGCUUAACUCGGAAACUGCCAUUGAUACUAUUAGUCUUGAAUAUUGUGGAGGUUAGCGGAAUAUGUCAUGUAGCGGUGAAAUGCUUAGAUAUGACAUAGAACACCAAUUGCGAAGGCAGCUGGCUACACAUAUAUUGACACUGAGGCACGAAAGCGUGGGGAUCAAACA
rnacentral:rRNA from 1 species